AAGCGGAGGAAAAGAAACCAACAGGGAUUGCCCCAGUAACGGCGAGUGAAGCGGCAACAGCUCAAAUUUGAAAUCUGGCCCCCGGGUCCGAGUUGUAAUUUGCAGAGGAUGCUUCGGGCGAGGUGCCUUCCGAGUUCCCUGGAACGGGACGCCACAGAGGGUGAGAGCCCCGUCUGGUCGGACACCGAGCCCGUGUGAAGCUCCUUCGAAGAGUCGAGUAGUUUGGGAAUGCUGCUCAAAAUGGGAGGUAUAUGUCUUCUAAAGCUAAAUAUUGGCCAGAGACCGAUAGCGCACAAGUAGAGUGAUCGAAAGAUGAAAAGCACUUUGAAAAGAGGGUUAAAAAGUACGUGAAAUUGUUGAAAGGGAAGCGCCCAUGACCAGACUUGGGCCCGGUGAAUCACCCGGCGUUCUCGCCGGUGCACUUUGCCGGGCACAGGCCAGCAUCAGUUUGGCGCGGGGGACAAAGGCUUCGGGAACGUGGCUCCCUCGGGAGUGUUAUAGCCCGCUGCGUAAUACCCUGCGCCGGACUGAGGUACGCGCAUCGCAAGGAUGCUGGCGUAAUGGUCAUCAGCGACCCGUCUUGAAACACGGACCAAGGAGUCGUCUUCGUAUGCGAGUGUUCGGGUGUCAAACCCCUACGCGGAAUGAAAGUGAACGCAGGUGAGAGCUUCGGCGCAUCAUCGACCGAUCCUGAUGUUCUCGGAUGGAUUUGAGUAAGAGCAUACGGGGCCGGACCCGAAAGAAGGUGAACUAUGCCUGUAUAGGGUGAAGCCAGAGGAAACUCUGGUGGAAGCUCGCAGCGGUUCUGACGUGCGAAUCGAUCGUCAAAUAUGGGCAUGGGGGCGAAAGACUAAUCGAACCUU
rnacentral:rRNA from 1 species